rnacentral:rRNA from 1 species
AACGCGAAGAACCUUACCAGCCCUUGACAUGUCCAGGACCGGUCGCAGAGAUGUGACCUUCCCUUCGGAGCCUGGAACACAGGUGCUGCAUGGCUGUCGUCAGCUCGUGUCGUGAGAUGUUGGGUUAAGUCCCGCAACGAGCGCAACCCCCGUCCUUAGUUGCCACCAUUUAGUUGAGCACUCUAAGGAGACUGCCGGUGAUAAGCCGCGAGGAAGGUGGGGAUGACGUCAAGUCCUCAUGGCCCUUACGGGCUGGGCUACACACGUGCUACAAUGGCGGUGACAAUGGGAUGCUAAGGGGCGACCCUUCGCAAAUCUCAAAAAGCCGUCUCAGUUCGGAUUGGGCUCUGCAACUCGAGCCCAUGAAGUUGGAAUCGCUAGUAAUCGUGGAUCAGCACGCCACGGUGAAUACGUUCCCGGGCCUUGUACACACCG